GAUGAACGCUGACAGAAUGCUUAACACAUGCAAGUCAACUGUGGCGGACGGGUGAGUAACGCGUAAAGAACUUGCCUCACAGAUAGGGACCACAUUUGGAAACGAAUGCUAAUACCUGAUACUGUGAGAGAGUUUUGCGUCCCAUUAGCUAGUUGGAGAGGUAACGGCUCACCAAGGCGAUGAUGGGUAGCCGGCCUGAGAGGGUUAUCGGCCACAAGGGGAAUGAGACACGGCCCUUACUCCGACGGGAGGCAGAAGGGGGGAAUAGUGGACAAUGGACCAAAGUCUGAUCCAGAAAUUCUGUGUGCACGAUGAAGUUUUCGGAAUGUAAAGUGAUUUCAGUUGGGAAGCAGUACCAACAGAAGAAGUGACGGCUAAAUACGUGCCAGCAGCCGCGGUAAUAC
rnacentral:rRNA from 1 species